CAAGCGCGGCCGCGCCAGUCCCGAAUUCGCGCUCUCGCUUAAACAUUGUGUUCACGUGUCCGGUUGCGGAUUUACAAUUUACACAUUCGUGUCUAAUUUUCGCGUUGAUAUCAGACACGAACUCCACGAAACAUUCAUCCUGAACGUACGAAAGAAUAUGCGCACGCGAAGACGCGUCCGUCUGACGCGUGAUCUCUCGGUACGUGGGUGGCUGGACUAUAUUUAAGCACUAAACGAUGCCGAGAUUUAUGCGCGAAUAUACAGGGUGCUCGGUAAAAAGUGUGCAAACAGUGACAAGCGAUCGAAUCAUGAUGAGAAGGAUAUACAAGUUUCGGAAGACUGUCACAGACUAUCCUUAUAAAACAUGCAUUAUGAGUGGAACGAUCGAUGAUGCUAUGAAUGUUGCAAACGGGACAAAAGUGCUUUUGAUCGAUACGUUCGUGAAUUAUUUCCACGUGCCUUCGAGAGGCCUUCCACGGCGGAAAGUUUCGGAAACGUCGAGCAAGAGUGAACGGCACCGCCGCAGAAUGCAGAGCAGAUGAGUACACUUUUGAUAGAUUAGUAUAUAUAUACGAAUUAGCAAUUCUAAGCACUAUAAUAACGGAAUCUUUUGAAAAUGUAACGCGCGAUACGGGGUUGACUCGUGCGCUUGCUUUCGGAUGUAAAAAGAUGUUUGUUCGAGAAAUCGUUAGUACGGAGAAGGAAUGGCAACAGAGAGGAAAAUGGUUAUGACGAAUAGCUUGUUGCAUGUAACUCUCUGAAUCUGGUAAACUGACGCGUUCUGUUUUUAUUUGAUAUUAAUCUUUGAAUUGUUUUUCGAUGUUGAAUGUCAACUCGCUCGUUGAAGCUAUUGAAAUAUUUUGAGAAAACAGCGGAACCGCUGCACAAACAGUUUGAAAAUUUAUUUCUAAAUAGGUAUAAAGUAAUGAAAUUAGUGAGAGAGAGAUUUAUGAAAUUACGACGCAAAUUAUUCAUCAUGAUUCGUUGAUAUCCCUUUUUGUUGAUACUCCUCUCGUGCGGUUGCAUUAAGUAGUGUUGUAUAAUGAUGAUCUUAUUGCAUAUAUAAUACAAAGUGCAUGUGUGUAUUACGAAUAACGGCAUUACGCGUUAUAUUUUUGAAAGAUAUCUAGGUAUAUAAUGAAGAUAUUUACCUUGGAUGUUAUUAAAAUGGUUUCUCAAUAUUUAUAAUUUGGCACAGCUGCGUAGCUGUAUAAUUAACAAAUUAUCUCUUUGACGAUCGACGGUUAACGCGGACAUUUCGUUAAUUUGUGAGUGGUGUUUUGAUGAAUAGUCUACGCUGUACAUUUCCCUUUUCGCUAUUAUAAAUAAAAUUAUGCAGAAAGUGGUAAAUGCGUGGAUGUAAGUUAAUAAUAUUAGUAAGUCUCAAAUUUGUGCAAUUAUUAUUUGAUCUUUUGUUCUUCAUACGCAAAUUAUAAAAUUCUGUAAAAAGGCAUAAUGGCAUAAAGGCAUAAGGUUAUUAUGAACUAUAUAUGUAUAUUUUAUCAUUAAAAUGGUUAAUAUAUAUAAAAAUAUAUAUUAAGUACAAAAUAGCAUACAGGAAUUGAACGUAAAGAUAUUAUAGGAUAAAGUAAAUUGUUUUUGUAUAUUUAAAAAUGAACUAUAUUAAAGAGGCUUGCUCUGAAUCAAAUUCAAAGAAUAAUAUAAAAUAAUCGCACAAUUAAUAUAUACAAGCAGUUAUAAUUUAAGUUAUAAUUUUUUGUAUAUAUUGUGCGCGUUUGCAUAUGUGUGAUAGAAAUUUUAUCAGAUGAAACGAAUAUCGCGCCUUAUUCUGAAAAAAAUUUACUAAAGAGAUCGUUCGCCUCGAUAUUUUUCGCUUUAAUUUCCAGUAUUCUCACCUCUCAUGAAAUCUCAGUAGGUAAUUAUAAUUUUAGCGUGCUGAUUAUUAUCAUUUUUUUAUUCCGCUUCGUUAGUCGCUAAUUGAGCGUUGCCCCGGCAUGCAAAAUAGCAUCACAAUACAUUCCACGAUCUCGCCGCGCGGUACGAAUAUGCAUCUCAUGCCACGCCUGUUUUAUGACGCGCGGACGCUGCAACAAAAGAGAGUGUAAAUGAGAACUUACAAGUGACGGUGGGCUGAUUUAUUGCCGAAUUGACUAUUCAUUUUCUUCACCUCCGGUGUGAGAAGUCACGCGGUCAUUAGCCCGCGCCCGGUGCAGAAACCCCGUCGUUUGAAUUAAGAGAAUGAGAGAGAAAAAAAAAGAACAGAAAGGUUGCUCCCGUCGGUCGUCAAAGAGUCAGCGGCGGAUUCGUAAUCUAGAGAGAUCUGUGAAGUCCGAUCCAGCUGGACUCCUCUCUUAUUCAAGCCGUAUUAGAAUUGUACUUGGAACGGAGCUUGAAAAAAUCCCGGGACAAAAUUAACUAACCAGACCUAAAUGUUGGUGAUUCUUCUUAUGAGAUGAGAUGUCUUAUCUUGUAUGCAUGAAAAAGAAAGUUGCUCCUUAAAACAGUAAAAAACUUUACGAUCUCUUCUUCGCGAUUUACUCAUAUUGUUCGAGGACUAAUGAAUGUUACAGAACUUAUUAUCGAAAUGUAGACGUAGCCAGGAAAAAAAGAAGUACAAGAUGUAUUUGCAUUUAGCUAACUUCAUAAUUUUACGAUUUAUUACUAAUAUGUAGAUAAAGAAUAAAAUAAAAUGUCGCAUAUUUAUAUGUAUAUUUCGGAUAUUUCUGUGACAUCCUGUUUUAUUUAGUUUAUUAUGUAACGUCUAGGUUAAUCUUUGAUUAACUUAAACUUAAUAUUUCAUUAUCAAAAUUUUGAUUUUGUUAAUGUUAUUUAAUUUAAAAUUAAAUAU